GACGAACGCUGGCGGCGUGCUUAACACAUGCAAGUCGAACGGAAAGGCCCUGCGUUUGUGGGGUGCUCGAUUGGCGAACGGGUGAGUAACACGUGAGUAACCUGCCCUUGACUGUGGGAUAACUUCAGGAAACUGGGGCUAAUACCGGAUAGGAGCUCCUGCUGCAUGGUGGGGGUUGGAAAGUUUCGGCGGUUGGGGAUGGACUCGCGGCUUAUCAGCUUGUUGGUGGUGUAGUGGCUUACCAAGGCUUUGACGGGUAGCCGGCCUGAGAGGGUGACCGGCCACAUUGGGCCUGAGAUACGGCCCAGAAUCCUACGGGCGGCAGCAGUGGGGAAUAUUGCACAAUGGGCGGAAGCCUGAUGCAGCAACGCCGCGUGCGGGAUGACGGCCUUCGGGUUGUAAACCGCUUUCGCAUGUGAUGAAGCGUGAGUGACGGUAAUGGGUAAAGAAGCACCGGCUAACUACGUG
rnacentral:rRNA from 1 species